UAUGGGCAGCAUUGUAAUGUUUUUUAAACAGUGCUUGAUGACUUUGUGUUUUCACAGUUGCCCCCAAUAAAGCCAGAAUAUUAACUCUUGCGCUCGACGUAACGUUACGGCCUUCAAGAAAAGUAAUAUCACAAGCGUAGGAUUGAACGAUAGAAUGUAUUACUGAUACAUACUGGCAUAUUACAACGCUCAAAGUAUAUUCUAUAUUUGCUGAAUAAUCACUGUGAAAUGUAGUUUGCAAUCAUGAAUUACUGCUGGUCAAUCACAGAAAACAUUUCCUUUGUCUAAGGAAAAGAAAACUUUAAUAAUGACACUUGGCAAAUGAUCUGCGAGGAUGAAAAUCAAUGACCAAAUAACUAUGACAGCAUGCUGAACAACGUUAGCGAAAUUGCAGCAGUAGGCUGGUGAGAAACACAAUAGCAUUCAUGAGCUUAUUUCGGCCGACAACCAUACCUUCACGGACCAUAAGAGCAUACAUAAUAGGCAUUAAAAUUCGUCACAUAUCGCAUUUUAUAAGUAGCGCUCCAUUUUCUGUUGUGAAUUGUAAGACCUAAUUAUAUUCAAAAGGGGAUACGUGUGCAUUAAAAUAACGUGAUUACAUCAUUCUUUCACCAGAGCCGGUGUUUCUUUCUGCAUCAAGGCGUACCAGCGUAUAGGAAUUUCUGGUUGUAAUGGCAGGACGCAUCACAGCAUUUCUUUUCAUGUGUGCCGUAUUCGCCUACGGCGUCAUGGUUAUUGCAGCCAGUCAAGAUGCUACAGCACGAGGAAGUUCAGUGCCGGCGAGUGCUGCCAAUGAGGAUGCAAGAAUCUCAUCAGCUGCGAUCGGAAGCUUGGCGGGUGGAGGCCUCGGCUGAAACUCACGUGAUUGGCUGCACCGAGAGAGCAGCGCGAGAGAACCGACUUUUGUCGCGUGCUCGCUUUAUUCUUUAGCGAGCGCAUUGUUCACCGCUCAAAUGGAAUAAAUGUCGCAACAUCA